GCCAACAAAUCAGGAUGUUUGAUGAACCCAGCGUUAAAUUUUGGUCCUGCAGUGGUAACGGGUGACUGGAGAAGUCAAUGGAUCUAUUGGGUCGGAGAUUUGCUGGGCGGUGUGGUGGGAACCCUAAUGUACGACAAGGUGUUCUCAAGUACCUCGGACGAGAAAUGUCACCUGCGAAGCUGCUGCCUCGGCGUUCGAUCCCCGGACGAGAAGAGGGAGCCAAUCAUGUUUGAUGACAUGGAAACGAAAUCAGGGGGCAAAAUGUACACAUCCCUCCCCGGCGAGAAACCGAAGGAACCGGACGAAAUUACCACAAUGUAAAAGGAAGAAAGAAAACAGAAACAGAAUGAAAGUAAAGACUGUUAACUUUACGAAAAGGAACUCGCACUGUUGAAUAGAUAAAUGUCCGUCUACUUUAAUGAACUUUUAGAAACAAAAGGAGACAAUGGUUAUGUACGCGUGUGUCUGUGUGUUUAAAUGGAUGUCUGUGUGUUUAAAUGGAUGUCUGUACGUAUUUGCCCCCACAGAAGAAAAAAAAAACUGGUCCACAUCAUUGGAUGCAGACAUAUUCGAAAGUGUUACAUCAAAGUUGGCCUUCUCCAAGAGAGAUGUUUCAACAAAGACGAGGGUGUCUCUCGCUUGAAAAAGCUUCAAGCGUAGAGGCAUCGCUCGCUGUUUAACAGCUCUGUUAUGUCCUGCAUACGAUGGUUGGCCAUAGCAAAACAAUGCAAAACACUCAAUGACGGAAUGAAGGGCAUGAGUUGAGGUGGGGCCUAAGCUCGCCCUCUCAACACCUAUUGCUAGAGGCGCCCAGCAAGAUUGAAGGGCCACAUCCAUGUUGCUCAUGACAACAAUCAGGCGUACGUAUAUAUGUAUAUAAGUGUGUGCAUGUGUGAAUGUAUAUAUAUAUGUAUAUGAGCGCAUUUAAAUGAGUGUAUGCGUGUGAGCGUGCGUAUGUGUGCGUGUGUUUGUAUAGAGUCAUAUCCAGGAUUUCAAGUGAGGAACUCUUAUGAAAAUGGAUUCACCAUUAUCCGUCGAAUUUGUGGAAAACUCAAAUAAAAUAUUAGAUGAAGAAUA